AGCAAUUUGAAAAAUUGGUGGAGUUAAUGGAGAAGUUUCCAGAAGUCGGAAGAGGAAAGACACAAUUUGGAAACAAUAAAUUCAAAACCAAAGAAUUGUGGGAGAGUGUGGCACUGCAGUGAAAUUGUUCAGGGCCGCCAAGCAGAACUGCCUACGAUUGGGGACGAGUGUGGAUUCACUAUAAGCAAAUUUAAAGAAAAAACUUGCCAACAACAGGAAUAACUUCCUUGCGACUGGUGGUGGACCGUCGCUGAGCCCAAUGGAGGAGAGCGUGGCCCAGCUCAUUCUCAGUCAUUUGAAUUUUAAUCCAUUGGGCACAAAUACGUUGUUCAAUUAUUUUUUAGAACAUCUUUAAUUACUAAAGAUAUCGUUGGUUGCGCCAACCCAAUGUUAAAAUCA